rnacentral:rRNA from 1 species
UGGGGAAUUUUGCACAAUGGGGGAAACCCUGAUGCAGCGACGCCGCGUGAUUUAGAAGGCCUUCUGGUUGUAAAAAUCUUUUGUAUGGGAAGAAAAUGACAGUACCAUACGAAUAAGGACCGGCUAAUUACGUGCCAGCAGCCGCGGUAAUACGUAAGGUCCGAGCGUUGUCCGGAAUCAUUGGGCGUAAAGGGUACGUAGGCGGAUAAGCAAGUUAGAAGUGAAAUCCUAUAGCUCAACUAUAGUAAGCUUUUAAAACUGCUCAUCUUGAGGUAUGGAAGGGAAAGUGGAAUUCCUAGUGUAGCGGUGAAAUGCGCAGAUAUUAGGAGGAAUACCGGUGGCGAAGGCGACUUUCUGGCCAUAUACUGACGCUGAGGUACGAAAGCGUGGGUAGCAAACAGG